rnacentral:piRNA from 1 species
AAUGGAGAAACUUGGGUAUGGCUAA